rnacentral:snRNA from 1 species
AUACUUACCUGGCAGGGGAGAUACCAUGAUCACGAAGGUGGUUUUCCCAGGGCGAGGCUUAUCCAUUGCACUCCGGAUGUGCUGACCCUUGUGAUUUCCCCAAAUGUGGGAAACUCGACUGCAUAAUUUGUGGUAGUGGGGGACUGCGUUUGCGCUCUCCCCUA